AAAACUUCUAUAAUAGGGAGUAAGAUUGACAACGACAAAAGUAAUACUCUGAGGAAAAAAGUGAGCCAUGCUGAAUUAUAUUAAUUUGCUGAAAGAAAAACAAAACGGAAAACAUUGACGGCAUCCAUUUAUAAUCAACGUUUUAAAGUUUCAGCAACAACCUAAACCACAUCACUUCUUCAAUCAAUAUAUAAUAUCGACGUAGUGGCAUUUAAGUCUGUUUUUCCUGUUGCCUAGUUGUCGAAUACUUCUUCAUUAAACUUCAACCAUAUGCAAACUCCAAUUGCUAACGCAGUCACCUUAAAUAUCAGACAGCACAGCCGCAGAUAAUGUAUAUCACAGCAACACCGAUAGUCAUAGAAGAAGGCCAACCCGACACAAUACAAGAUCUUGUCAACCACUUGACUGUAGAAUAGUGAUAUAAUAUAUAACAAUGGCCUCUGACCAUCGACUUCUCGAUGUCAGUGUCUCCUUUGGUGGUUUAACUUUUGUCUUUUUAUUCUGAUCAUCUUUCAUAUUCGUUCAUUGAUUCGUCAUACAUUCCAUUCCUUUUAAAUGGCAUGCGGCAAAAUCUCAAACAACAAUGCAAGGAAACAAAGACUUAUCAAUUAACUGAUGCGUUUUGAAUGCCAAACAAACUAAUAUCCUGAAAUUAGAAACGUUACUUACUAGUUUUUUGAAAAAAACCAGUGGCAAGGGGUAAAAAAGACGAUAAUAAGCAAGCAAAGUACCAUAAAAGUUUGCCAAAACAGUCUGCCAACUGUACUGGUAGUACGACUUGUUACAGCUGUUGCACAUUGGGUGUAACUAUUUUGUAUAAAGUUUAGUCCUCAAUUUAGAAAAUAGUUUAAAUAUCUGCAGAUGCCACUUUUUAAGUCGUUACAAUGAUUAACUGUUUUUAUUGAUUGUUUAAAAUUAAUUGUUUACCGUCAUUAAAUCAAAAGUAUUAAUAGAUUAUUUUUCCAAAAUGUCAACGGCAAAUUCAUACCAGUAUUUUUAUUUUGAACAAUUAAUUUUCCAUGAUUUUGUUUACUUGGAAAGUUAAACAGUAAAGAAUUGGUGUAAAUAAAAUCUCUCUAAAGAAACAAGA